UUAUGCAGCCAUAUCACCCUGGAACUCACAGCAGACAACCCCACUGAAGCCCAGCAGGUGUGAGCCUGGUCAGUACCUGGAUAGGAGACUCCUGGGAAAAACUAAGGUUGCUACUGGAG
rnacentral:rRNA from 1 species